rnacentral:rRNA from 1 species
UACGGAGGGUGCAAGCGUUAUCCGGAUUCACUGGGUUUAAAGGGUGCGUAGGUGGGCUUGUAAGUCAGUGGUGAAAUCUCCGGGCUUAACUCGGAAACUGCCAUUGAUACUAUAAGUCUUGAAUACCAUGGAGGUGAGCGGAAUAUGUCAUGUAGCGGUGAAAUGCUUAGAUAUGACACAGAACACCGAUUGCGAAGGCAGCUCGCUAAAGUAUGAUUGACGCUGAGGCACGAAAGCGUGGGGAGCAAACAGG